UGUGAAAAAACGCGGGGAUUUACAGCUGGAAAUAGCCCAGCCCUGGCUGUGUGACUGCAGCUGGGGAAGGGACCGCUGCAGCCCGGGCUCUCCCAGUCACUCUAGAGCAAUUGGCACUGUCCCUCGUAGCGGUCUGGGAUCGCCGACUUGGCAGCACCUCUGGCGCGUUUCUCCAGAAACAUCCCCAGCAGGCACUGGGGUGGUUGAUGUCCCUCAUGAAGACUGGGACUGGCGAAGGUGAGGUCGCUUGGAGCUGUCUGUGCGACAGCCUGAUCCGCCAGUUCCUCCUGCUCAGGUGGCCUGUGGCAGACACCCACUGCAGUGUCACUCUGCUCACUGGAAGAAGAGCCGCUUCAGAAGGUUCAUUUAUGCUCCUUGCCAUGGUCCCAAGUAUUUCCUCUCACUGUGAGUAAGUCAGAUAUCUCAUACCACUGCUGUCUGUAGCUGAAAAUGCUCCCUCCUGCCUGGCACAUUGCAUCCUGGGGGUCCAGCUCUUCCAAGACUAAGCCUGACAGAAAAGAACUACUAUGACAUCCAGGAAUAUGUCAUUCCAUGACCAGAGCAAUAGAUACAGCAGGACUGAGGAGCAGGCAAGAAGACGACUUGGAGAAGUAAGACAGGUGCCAUCCACAUCCUUCUUGUGUUGUUUUCCAUCCCUUAGAAGGGUCAGACCCCAUAGCUUUCUGUGUCUCUCUCCUUUGAUGAGCUCCUCGGGAUGUUCAUAAGCCACUCUGCAUAUGUUCUGCUCAUCCCUCCAGGAGGAAGCUGGUGCAGUCCCAGGCCAAGCGCUGCACCAGUACCAUGGGAAGCAGUGAGAAAAAGGCUUUGGAAAAGUGCAAGGAACAGCAAGCCUGAUUACUUGUUUAAAGAACGGCUUUUUAGGAAGUACCACAUUCCACAUGGAGUUGAGUUUUUAAACCCCUUUGAAAACUCAAUCUUAUUGAAGAUUUCAUGACUGCAGACCCACAGAAACUGAUUUAAAAGAUGCAGAAGACAGAUAUUGAAAGUAAUAUGAAAAUAAAUGAGCAACAUUUCCUAAUAUUUACAACUACUUUAUAGUGAGCUCUGAACAAUGAAGCUAAAAUCUCAUUUUAAUGAGGAAAGUGUUUCCCUAAAUAUCUAAUUUUACAUGCUCUUCCAAUAAUUUAUGUUUUCUUCUCUCCUUAUUUUUCCAGUCUGUGAGGGCCAGGAAAGUAAGAAGGCCUAAGAUGUCCACUUGCCUAUUUCUUUACUGCUUCUACUUUCAUAGGGUUCAUUUGUUCCAGGCAAAGCUUUUAGUUUGGCACUCAGUCUUUCCCCUUUGGUACCACCACUGUCUGGGGAACAGAAAAAAAAAAAGAAGACAAAUAACAUGCUGUUAUAUUCUGUGAAAUCAUGAUACAAGAACAACAUCAAUUUAGCUACUACUAUCUGUCAAACAAAGUUUGGAUGAAACCAUCUUUUCAUGAUGGAUACAGUACUCAGUUGUAAUAGUGGUCUUUAAAACACAAUGGACACUGUGUCCAUACACGUGUGUGUUAAUGUUUUUUAAAAAAUCUAUACAGCCUUAUUUACUUUGGAGUAAACACCUGAAAAUAUUUCUGCUUCAAAUGCUGACAGUUCAGCUGCUUAUAAAUUACAGUCACAUUUUGGAGUUAAAAUAAGCACAGUGAAUAUAAACACCGUUACAGGGUAUACGGGACGUUUCCUAUGUCUGUGUGCUUACCAAUAUAUCAGUGUGAUCCACCUGCUCCGUACUGUCAAGGUUAAACACAACACUGACUUUGCUUCUAAUGAGAAGGGUAUAUUUGACACGUGCUGUCUGCAUGGCAGGCAGGCACAGUUCAUGUAUACAGACCAUCCUAGCCCUGCAUCUUGCUGUAAACACUGUGCUGGCAGCUCAGUUUGCAGCGGGGCCCCAAGGAAUGUGUCGGCUCCAAGGGCUGCCUCCUGCCCAGACAA